rnacentral:tRNA from 1 species
CAAAAAAUAGUUUAUUAAAAUAUUAAUUUUGGAGAUUAAUGAUAGAAUAUUUUCUUUUUUUGA